AAGAAGUACAUUUAUAAGACUCAAUCCUUUCACUAUUCCUCAAAACCAAGUAAUAAUCACAAAACACUUGCCCUUUUCUCUUUUUCUCUGAUUUUAACAUGCUAUGAAGCCUUCCUCCCGCCCAGCUCUAAAUGCUAAGCUCAUUUUUAACCAUCAUUUUCAUGUUAAUUGCAUGGGGGGGCGGGGGAGGGCACUAACAGGCAAGGCAAAGGGAUGGAAUCACAAAACUAAAUGGUCCAUUUUCCUUUGAGUGCUGAAUGUAUUUCAAAAUAAAAUACACGAGAAAAGCCCAACUUCACUUUAAGUACUGAUUUUCACCUGUCCAAUAAAUGACUCAUUUGUCCCAUGGUCUCAGUCACCAUGCCAUUUUGGUGUUAAGGAACAAAGAAACAGUCCAAAAUGGUCAACAGGAGAAAGGAAAGAAUAGAAGCCAUGCAGCAUGCAAAGGAAACUGUGAAGAACUGUAUCUGCCAUCAAGACCAGCCCUGACCAUCACAGCUUCUCCCAUGGGCCAGACCAAAUCUCACUGUGCCAUCGUGGGCGUGCAGUUUAACAACUUCUACACGCUGUACGCAGUUCAGAAACAGACAUUAAACCACAUCUUGUACCUGGCGGCAUUUCUUCCAAACUUCCCUUUCAACAACCAGAUAAAAAAAUUUGAUCACAGCAAUGGAGAUGUCACUGUCAGAGUCAAGAAACCUUCUUAAAAGAUAAGGCAAUGCUUUAUAAAAAGGACUUUCAGCUAGAGACUGUAAUUUGGACGUUUGGAUUUUUGUCUCCUGUAUAUACAGUAGUAUAUAAUCAGGAAUUCACACUCCCGAACUUUAGCACUUGCCUAAAAAUCUGUUACCAUGAUGAGCACCGAGUCAUGUAUAGAACUGUUGAAUCGUUACAUUGUACACCUGAAACUAACAUAACACUAUGUUAAUUAUACUUCAAUUAAAAAACAAAAACAAACCUAUAGUUGCUUUUACUUAUGGAGUAACAAUAAAUACUCAAAGGUCUAAGACAUGACCUAUGAUGUACGUCCCGUACACACCACUUGGCUCUCCUUACAGAAUAUUAAGGUGGCAGUCAGUCUACUACAUCCCAAAGAGCCCAGCCAAAAGCCUCAUUCUCAGUUUCUUUAAUUGUCAAAUACAUUCUAUAACUAGAACAUACAAUCAGUAACACGCUUAAUUACAACAGUGGGCAUUUUAAUUGCUUUUGGAAAACUAGCCAACAACCUGUUGUAUACAACUUCAAAAGGAUGCACUCUCAUGAGCUAAUUAAGAUCUAAACCCUAACAAACUGUAGCUCUCACAGUGAUACUCACUUGCAAGCUGCAUUACAAGUAAGGUAUAUAAAAGGAUAAUUUAGAAAUUACUUAUGGGAAUUAGGGGACUUAUUUAACUCAAUUUUGCUUUGGAUCUUCCCAUAAUUUAGAGGGCUGGCCUUCAAGAAGACAAAGUCCCCCGGCUGGGAAAGUCAGAAUCAUUUGCUUUGUCUAAGUCAUUUCAGAUCAUUCCAUAUUUGGGUUUAUUUAGCUGCCUUGGAAAAGUUUUGGCAUUUUUUGAAGAAAAUUUUAUUUUUUUUACGUUGAUUUGUUUUUGAGAGACAGAGAAAAAGUGCAUGCGUGAGCGGGGGAGGAGCAGAGAGAGAGAAUCUCAAACAGGCUCCACAGUGUCAGCACAGAGCCCCAAAUGGGGCUUGAACUCACGAACUGUGAGAUCAUGACCUGAGCCAAAAUCAAGAGUCAGACACUUAACCAACUGAGCCACCCAGGUUCCCCUAAGAAAAGUUUAAAGAGAGCCAACUAGAAAAAGGAGUAAGACAUUUUGUGUGAUGUUUCUGAAACAAUGAGUCAAUGGACACAGCUCAAAAGGUACCAGUAAAGUUUUCUAAGAAACAGGAGAGCAUUUUGCAUCAUUUCUCCUUUGCCCCAGACCUCUCACUUAAUAAAGUUUAGAGCUCUGGCUUAUUUUAUUAAAAGGACAAAACCCUCAUCAUGAAAAGAUUCAACAGAAAGAAAAAUGUCUGGUUUUGCCCUUUCCUCUCUGAGUCAGCACAUGCUUGCAGCAAACUCGGAGAACAAAAGUACCUCCUUACCUGCAAUGAUGAGAUGAUUCUGAUUCACCAUCUUUAGGAAGACCACUCUCAUGGGCGAAAACUUUUCCAAACCAUCAGAAUGGCCAUGUGGGCCUGAUUCAACACCAAGAAUGAGAAGUUACAGUAAAAACAUUAUGGAGUGAAAAUUUCUGGUUGUACUGAAGAACACCUUAAUAACCCACUGUUACCCUCCAUUAGGCUAACUCAUUCUUCUGAUAUCAAAUUUAACUCCACCUGGGGCACUUGGGUAACUCCGUGGGUUAAGCGUCCGACUCUUGAUUUCAGCUCAGAUCAUGACCUCACAGUUGUGAGAUGGAGCCCCAUGUCAGGCUCUGCACUGGGUGUGGAGCCUGCUUAAGACUCUCUCUCUCCCUCUGCCCCUCCCUUGCUCGUGCUCAAGCUCUCACGCUCUCUCUCAAAAAAAAAAAAAAAAAAAUUAACUCCACCUGGACAGCACAAUGAUUUACACAUGGCACCUACAUAAAGCCCCUGCCUGUAAUUCACACCAACUAAUUUAAGUCCAAUGAGCUAUAUGACCCUAUUCCUGAAAAAAGGCACAAGAACUUCAGUCUGGUUUCAUUGGCAUCAGCGCCACCAAAGAGGAAGAAAGGUUUCUAAACUUUUCCUCUCUGCCCUUAAGCCAAUUCUUCCAAGGUAGUCUAAACCCAGCCACUGGCUAGCCUUGUGCAAUCCUGCUAAGUCUGCUCCUUUGCAAUAAUCUCCAUAGCAAUGGGCUCUGUGACCUAACCCACAGCCAAGGAAGCAAGGUACUUCAGACACAAACACCCAACCAGGGAGCAAGGACAUCAGCUGAGGCAUCAGGGAUGUCUGAGCUACUUUUGGAGGCUCUGAUAAACAAGCAGGUCAUCUGUAACUAGUGUCCUUUUAAGAAGAGGACACUUGGACACAACGUGCACUGCACACACAGUAAAAGACCAAGCGAGGACACAGCAAGCAAGAAGGCAGCCAUCUGCAAGCCAAGGAGAUCGGCCUCCGGAGAAAACAACCCCACCAAUAUCUUGGUCUGGGACUUCUAGCCUCCAGAAUAGUGUGGGCAUGCAGGUUUUUGAGAAGAGGCAACACAGGUGAGAGAAGACCCAGAAGCAGAUGGUGGGGAUGUCCUUCCAGGAGUCAUCUUCAUUACCCUGGCAAUCUUUAAAGUAUUUAUCGAGUCAAUAAAGCAGUCAAGUGAUGGUGGCAUGCUGAACAGGUUUCAGACAGGCUACAGGCAGUAAUACACUGCUAUGGCCAUUCGCUGGCCCAAGUCAGGCCACCGGUCAGGCUUGCAAAGAAGCGACAGACCACAAAUUAGAAUUACACAGAAGUUGUACACUGAUGUAAUGCACACCUCUUGCCCCUGCACACCCCCACAGAAACACAUUUAUCCUCCACACGGUCCCAGGCCUUCUGGGUGCCUCUGCUCCUGGCCUUUCACACUAUCUUUACACUAAUUAUUUGUAGACAAUCCUGUCUCUUCAUCUAGACUGUCUGCUCCCGGAGAGGUAUGAUCCACACUAGAGUCCACCUUUGUAUUGUGCCUACAAAACAAGAAUUCAGUACCUAUUUCGUGAACAGCAGGUUAAUCCCGGCAGCAUAGAACCCUAAGGAGGAGAUGGAAAGCCUCUAGACUACAGCAAUGCUUCCAUAAAUUAACAUGCAGACAAAUGACCUAAGGAUCUCGCUAAAAUACACAUUCUUGAAUACCACCCCCUGGAGAUUACAACUCAGCAGUUCUGGGGUAGGGUUCCCAAAUCUUCAUUUCUAGCAAGACCUCAAGGAGACUGAUGUUGCCGGUCCACUCCGGCUGUGCCUAGAAUAACCUCCCACCUGAAGCAGAAGUCACCCCAAGUGCAAUUCUGAGAGGAAUACCAUGGGGUAGCUUCUGCACCCCUCCCUCCACUCCCAGGAGAAAAGGUGACACACCCCAAGGCCACCCAGUCUGCUUCAGGUCCUAGAACUGCUAAAGACGUUCUCCCUUAUAUACCAAGUUCCCCGGAGUUCAAACGCCUGCCCUGGAGACACUAUCGAUGUGCCCACAAAGGUCUCUCACUGACUUUUUUUCAAAUCACUCACUCACUUUCCUUCCUUGUCUCCCUGCCUUUGCCUCUUUCUCUUUGCCCUUGCACAACUGGAACCACAUCUGAAUACUAAACUACAGCCCUUUUAUUUGUGCUCUUAGGAAAAUAUCCCAGGAAAACCGCAUGCUUCUCAAGUUACAGGUCCUCCCCUCUCUGAAUUUAUCUACUUUUCCCAUAAUAAACCCCCUCCAUGCCAGCAAUUAAUCAGCCCCCAAAGACCACCCAGGAACAGCCAAGGAGAACCCUGCCCUCUCCAUAAAGCUGCCUGCCAGCACCAUGCGCGUCCCCGAGUCCCUUGCGAGCACAGCAGUGCCUUCAUUAGUCACACAAAGAGGUGGGCCAACCUCAGGCUUCCUUCUAGCUCUGCUGCCCUAGAAGAGUAUGACCUAAACCCAGGGACACCUGGGAACCAUUCCAGAUUCUUCCUUUGUUGACACUCUCUUCUUAGAGAGCAUCUGGAGAGUCAAUGUCAGGAGGCCUGGAGUCAAAUCCCAACUCCACCUGCAAGGAGGUCUGUGAUGGUGAGCUCAUCAGAUAAGGCAUUUGACCCUCCAUUUCCUCAACUAUAAACUGAGGAUAAUCAUAUCUCAGAGCUACUUUGUGAGAUUUCAUUGAGGUAAAUGACAUUUGUAAAAUUCCCAAACUGCAAGACAUGACAGAAAUGUUAAUUAUCGUCUCGCACUGCCAGGUACUCAAAUACUGGCUGCAUGUAUGACAUCCCUGUCUGCAGGCUACAUUCCUCACAAGGUAAACGAAGUCAAAUUCCACACAACGAUGGUCUCUGAAAUCACUGCUCUCCACUACUGUUGAGCCACUAUUUAUUUAUUGGCAACUCAUCAGGCUCCAGGCCUGUGCUAAGCACUUCACACGUGUUAUCACAUCCCGUCCUCAUUACCACCUCAAUGAGGCAGGUGCUAUCAUGAUCCCCAUUUUACAAAUGGGGAGAGUAAAGCACAAAACAGUUAAGUAAUGUGUUCAAGGUGACACAGCUAGCAGUGGCAAAGAAGGAAUCUGAAGCCAGGAGGUCUUAUUCUAGAGCCAGUGCCCCUAACUUCCAGGGGAGGCCGACCCCUGCGGGACACAAAGAUCCACGCGUGUCUCCGCAUGGGAACGGCACCGGCACCUCUGCCCCCACGUUUUAGCUCUGUACUCGGAGAACUCGUUCACAGGACAAAAUGACAGCAUGAUGCUCCAGAAAAAUUACAGCUAUUCAUUCUCCCAAUUAGCAUGUGAUGAAGAGAAGGGGGAAAUCACCAACUAUUUAAUGUGCUUGAAACCUGGUCUAUGAAAGAUUCAGUCAUUUGAAAACCACAUUUAUAACUGGAAGUAAAUCUCAAGAAAUAUAAACUCGAGGCAAGGUUUUCACUUCAAUAACCCUUGUAGUUAAUAAGUUUCGCAAGUAAAAGAAGAAUAUCGGAGGACAGGCUCUACGUUGUAUGCCCCAACAAUGUAAGCUAGUCAGAGGCUCGGAGGAACCUCCCACAUCUGUAACUAGAACAUCCCCUGAGGCAGCUUAAGAAUCAUAAAUUGGAUCUGCAUCCUUCUUUGGGAUGACAUACCUGUGACAAGCCCAGAAUUCCAGGAGACCUGGACCUCUUUACACCACCUAACUUAAUUAACAGAGCUAAUGACAGCAAAAUGGGUAAAAAGAAACAGUAAAUCUUUGCAACUUUUCUGUAAGUCUAAAAAUACUCCAAAAUAGACCAGUUAUUUUAAAACAUACAAAAAAUAACAAAAAGCCAACAGAAAAACAAGCAAAGAAUAUGACCAGACCGUUCACAAAGAGAAAAUACGAUCAGAUCUAGGAUAUAGUAAGAGAUGCUCAACAUUAUUAAUAAGAAAUGCAAACUGAAACCACUAUGAGAUACAAUUUUUCUCUUAUCAGAUUGGCAAAAAUUCAAAAGUUUAACCACAAAUCUUGUUGCCAAGGCUUGGGGAAAUCCCUACUCUUAAACAGGAAUAUAAAUUGGUACAACCAAUACAAAUUCGUACAGAGGAUUUGGGCAGUAACUAUCAAAAUGACAAAUGCACAUAUACUUUGACUAACAAUUUCACUCCUGGGAGUUUAUCCUACAGAUGUAUACAUACACAUGGAUGAAAUGCCAUAUAAUCAAAAUUAUUCAAAGCAGCAUCAUUUGUAAGAGUGAAGAACUAGACAUAACCCAAGGUCAUUACAUAUGAACCGAUUAAAUAUGAAAGAGUACAACCAUAUAAUGGACUAUUGGGCAGCUUUAAAGACAAUUAAUUAGGUAGCUCUCUCCAUACUGAGAUGGAAUGAUCUCCAAGAUAUACUGAUAAUCACAAAAAAGCAAGAUGCGGAAUGAUGUUUAUGGUAUCGCUG